rnacentral:rRNA from 1 species
UACGGAGGGAGCUAGCGUUGUUCGGAAUUACUGGGCGUAAAGCGCACGUAGGUGGCUUUUUAAGUCCGCCGUCAAAUCCCAGGGCUCAACUCUGGACAGGCGGUGGAAACUACCAAGCUUGAGUACGGUAGGGGCAGAGGGAAUUUCCGGUGGAGCGGUGAAAUGCGUAGAGAUCGGAAAGAACACCAACGGCGAAAGCACUCUGCUGGGCCGACACUGACACUGAGAGACGAAAGCGUGGGUAGCAAACAGG